GAUGAACGCUGGCGGCGUGCCUAAUACAUGCAAGUCGAGCGAACAGACGAGGAGCUUGCUCCUCUGACGUUAGCGGCGGACGGGUGAGUAACACGUGGAUAACCUACCUAUAAGACUGGGAUAACUUCGGGAAACCGGAGCUAAUACCGGAUAAUAUAUUGAACCGCAUGGUUCAAUAGUGAAAGACGGUUUUGCUGUCACUUAUAGAUGGUUCCGCGCCGCAUUAGCUAGUUGGCAAGGUAACGGCUUACCAAGGCAACGAUGCGUAGCCGACCUGAGAGGGUGAUCGGCCACACUGGAACUGAGACACGGUCCAGACUCCUACGGGAGGCAGCAGUAGGGAAUCUUCCGCAAUGGGCGAAAGCCUGACGGAGCAACGCCGCGUGAGUGAUGAAGGUCUUCGGAUCGUAAAACUCUGUUAUUAGGGAAGAACAAAUGUGUAAGUAACUAUGCACGUCUUGACGGUACCUAAUCAGAAAGCCACGGCUAACUACGUG
rnacentral:rRNA from 1 species